ACAUAGAACCGGAUAUGAUUUGGUUCUAUGAUUAUUCUCUUAAUUAAAAUAAGCACUCUCGAAAACUUUGGCUUUUUCAUUUGCAAUUCCAGCUUCUGGUCUCUUUGCUAGUUUGUAUCCUCUCUCCUGAAAACAAGAAAGAAAGAUGAAGCAACAAUAAUAAUUAGUGAACAAUGAAUUUGGUGUCUUAUAAAGGAGAUAUAUCAUAUUAUAUAUCAGAGUCUGUCUUAAGUUUUUGGAGGUCAUGUGUUUGUUAGUCAUGAUUCAACCGUGACAAAUCAAAUAUGACAGUUAAAACCCUGACAAGUAUUUUAUGAAACCAUAUUUAGUCACGGUUAUCAUGUCAAAUUUUAGAUUCUGUGUAAUAGCCCACCUUCAAAGACAACCCUGAUAUCUUACAAUCAUAAAUAAAAUACACUUCUCAAUAAAACUUCAAGACUUACCAGCAAACGCCAUAAGAAAGCAGUGCUGUCUCUCUUCUUGAUUUGCUUCUCAAUUACUUCAAUUGCUGGGUUAAAAUUCAUAACAAUUGAAGAUGACUGAUAAUGGGUUUGGAAAAUUGAACAUAAAGUUUGAGAUUUUACCCUUCAUUGCGUCUCCGCUGUUCAGCAGCAUGAUGUACCAAACUUCGUUGAAUACGUCAACUUGUUCAUUUGAUGCACCAAUUAUCUUCACAUAACCAUGAUUUACAUUAUUAAAUCCCAAAAAGAAAGAUCUGAAGCCACAAUAAUGAAGAUUGAAGAAGUUUAAUUAAUAUAACCUUGCAAUCGUUGGCAUCGAAAUCCGGACCAAGUAAUUCCAGUCCAUGUUUGUAGUCACCUCUUCCAUAUGCAAAGAGUGCUUCUGCAAGCUAGGUUGAAAUAAAGAAUUGGAGACAAGAAUUUUAACCAAGAAAAUUCAAAAUACAGUUAACGUGUAUGUGCGUGCUAAUUGCUUCCCACAUCUAGGGCCUGUUUGGAUUAACAAGUUAACUAAACGCUUACGGUAUAAAUGUUUAUCGUAUAAGUGCUUAUGUAUAAACUAUUUUAAUAACAAAAAAUAAAAUAGAACCAACCUGAUUUCAAAUAAACUAGAAAUUGUUUUCAUAACUAUCUUAAGAGAACUUAAGGAAAUAAGUUGAAAACAACUUAUGGACAUAUCAUAAGUUGUUUCCAUAUGCUCUAACAAACAGUUACACGAGUACUUAUGGCUGUAAGUCAGCUUAAUGAAGUUGAUUCAAACAGACCCUUUGUUUAAGACCCUUAUAUAAUAAGAUUUUUAGUAACAUUACUACUUAACGUUGUAUGUAAUAUGUAACAGAUAACGGCUAACUAAUUGAUUAGGCAUAGUAUGGUAGUCGGUUUUCAUAAUCACCGAAGUGGCAACUGAAGCAUACCAUCAUUCCUUUCUGCAUUAUUUGUUGCUUCUUUUUAGUCAUUCUCAGAAUCCUACAGUAACAUAAUAUGUUAUUACUUUCAUACCAUACUGCGGCUAAAACAUUUUCUGUAAAUAUAACACAUUAACCUGUCUCUUAAGCCCUUAAGAAGAUCUUCUGCUUUAGAAACUUGUCCAGUCUUUGCCAAAGCCCAAACUGUCAAUACAUCAAGGUGCCACUCUAAAUACCAGUUUUCCUAAACAUAGAUACAUACAAGAAUUGUAAAAGAAACAUUUAGCAUUAAUAUCCUAAGACUGCAAAAUGAGCUCAAGUUUUUCCCACAUAAUACGAGGUAUCAUACAUAAUAAUAAAGCAAAAUGAGUUUAUUGGCAAUAGGUAGUAGAAUGGCCCUGGGAAGAAGAUAGAUUUACCUUGAUCGAGGAAGUUAUAGAAAUGAUAUUGUUAGAAGUUAUGCGUGAAUGGUUGUUGGACCAUAUACAUCAGGUUAGUUUAUUGGAAAAAGUUGCAAGAUGGCUCUCUUAGGAUUGAGCAACACUUUGUUACUAACAAAUUAAGCCAACACAAGAUUCUCAUAAGGAAGAAUGACUUAAAAAUCAGGUACCUUUUUCUUCUGCCUUUCCUUUAGAAAAUUUUGCGAUUGUUAUCCUAAUUUCAUUUGCUUAUGAUAUGACAUUAUUGUAGUGUAGUGAUUUUAUUUGGACUCAUUUCUCUUCCCUGCCUCUAUUAUGUGAAGAGUUAUUUUGGCAUCAUUGUGUUGGUAGUAGUAAAACAUUUGUUUGUUCAUGUUUGUUUAAUAGGAGAAUCAGAAGGUCCGGACCGGGUUUUAAAACACUGCCCUGAAUGGUAAAUUCCAGAACUGAAAUAAGGGAGAACAUAUCUUACAUGUUAUGUACAUACAAACAUAACUCUUUUAUGUACUAAAAUAUUUUUUCACAAAUUCUAUACUUGCACUGUUUAAGCUAAUUGUCUUAUGUAGUUGAAUGCUCUUAUUUAAUUUUAAGACAUUUCAUUUAUGUUUGUUGCUGUUGUAAGCAGGUAUGGCAACAUGGCAAUUUCAUAAGUUAGUGUUGGCACAAUGCACAAGCAUAUAAGUUAUUUGUUGAUAGGACAAGAUUAAUUUUCAAAAUUAGAUAUGAAAACAAAUCCAAUUCAACUAAAAAACUUGAUCCUUUUUAUUUCAUGUCUGCUAAGUUAUGUGUUUUAGGAUGAAUCUGUACUGACUGCUGAUAUAUUGUGAUGUUGCAGUAUCGAAACAUGACCAUAAUGUUGAAAAGAGGCUUUUCUGUUCAGUUUUUGGGUUGCUAUCUUUUGUUAAGUUUUGUGCAGGUUAUGAAGUCGAUUCAACUGUAAAGUUGAUUAAUUAUCUGUUAAUUUAUCUGGAUUUAGCUGUAAAUUUUGCCUCCUUUUCGAUUCUGGAUUACGCUUUAUGAUUUUUGUUUGUUUGAUAAUUAUAGGUAUCUAUAAUACUCAUUUGAUGCUUGCAGGGAUUGUUGAACCUUAUUUUUGGAACUAGAAUUGGGUGUUUUAGUUUAACCUGUUUUUAUUCAUUUAUUGUUUCAUCUUAGUUGAAAUAGUUUGCUUCAAUUUUAGCUGAUUAAUUAUUUCAACUUUAAUGAAUUUAUUAUCCUAACCUUUUUCUGAGUGGAUUGUUUAAAUGUUGUGCUGACUUGGUUGUUAUGUGUAUUAUUAGGCUGCAAGUUGCUCUAAGAUCAUGAAAGAUUCUAUGUUGGAGACCCCUGCGAAGAUGUUUAUCCCGAAUGUGCGUUCUGGUAGCUAUGCUGAUAUUGGACCACGGGGAUCGAUGGAUGAGGAACACAUUCAGGGGAUAUGAUAUGUUUACAAUAAAGUGUUGAGACCAUAUGCAUCCAAGAAUUAAAUUGAUUUUAACAAGUUGUUUCAAGAGUGGAGAGUUAGAGCAUGGGAUUUGCAAAAUUGCAAUGAGUUGGGGAAGACUGCAUUAUAUUCAAUUUUUUUAUCACUUGGCUACUAAUCCAAAAAACUUUCAAGCAAAACUUUCAAGAAGGCGAGUUAAUUAGUACAACUUCUGAACCAUUAAAGUUAGAUGUUACAAACUAAAAAUGUAAUAAACCUGCAUGGUUUUAAAAAACGGUAUACCAUGAAAAUGAUCACGAAAAAACUGUUAUCAAACGGUGGCGAUACCAAUAGCAUUAUUCACCUUUUUUUUCUAUUAUAGAACCAACUGUAAUUAAUUCCAAUGUCUAUCACCACUUAUGAUUCAAUUUAUUUUUCCGUUUAA